CAAAUCAGUUGUUGGGUUGGGGGGAUAGGUGUGUGGGGGAUGGGUGUUGUGAGGUGGUCUGGCCUGUGGGCUGGCCGCAGCAUGCACCUUCCCUACUCCUGCCGCCCGCCUUGACAUUUGCGCUUGUUGUGUUUGACAGAGUAACAUGUGACAUUAUUAUUAAAAAGA
rnacentral:misc_RNA from 1 species